rnacentral:miRNA from 1 species
GGAUCCAAUCAUUAAAUUUAAAGUUCUUAAUGCAUAAAUCAAUUCUGCAAAUUUUAAAAAAUUAAAAAAUUAUUUAAUACUUUAUUUCAUUAAUUCAAAUUAAUGUAUAAAAUACUUUUAUAUCUACCCGUUAAUUUGAAUUAAUGAAACAAAGUAUCAAAUGAUUUUCAAAUUUUUAAAAAAUUUACAGACUUGAUCUAAGCAUUAAGAACUUUAAUUUUAAUGGUUGAAUCGUU